GACGAACGCUGGCGGCGUGCCUAAUACAUGCAAGUCGAACGCAUUUUCUUUCACCGUAGCUUGCUACACCGAAAGAAAAUGAGUGGCGAACGGGUGAGUAACACGUGGGUAACCUGCCCAUCAGCGGGGGAUAACACUUGGAAACAGGUGCUAAUACCGCAUAAUUCCAUUUACCGCAUGGUAGAUGGAUGAAAGGCGCUUUUGCGUCACUGAUGGAUGGACCCGCGGUGCAUUAGCUAGUUGGUGGGGUAACGGCCUACCAAGGCUGCGAUGCAUAGCCGACCUGAGAGGGUGAUCGGCCACACUGGGACUGAGACACGGCCCAGACUCCUACGGGAGGCAGCAGUAGGGAAUCUUCGGCAAUGGACACAAGUCUGACCGAGCAACGCCGCGUGAGUGAAGAAGGUUUUCGGAUCGUAAAACUCUGUUGUUAGAGAAGAACAAGGAUGAGAGUGGAAAGUUCAUCCCUUGACGGUAGCUAACCAGAAAGCCACGGCUAACUACGUG
rnacentral:rRNA from 1 species